CUUGGUCAUUUAGAGGAAGUAAAAGUCGUAACAAGGUUUCCGUAGGUGAACCUGCGGAAGGAUCAUUAAAGUGUCUUCUGUGCCCCGCGAGGGGCUGGAAUUCCCACCCUUGAAUACCAUGAUUUGUUGCUUUGGCGGGCCCGAGGCCCAGCCACGCCCCGGCUUCGGCGGGGGAGUGCCCGCCAGUGGAGCCCAAACCCUGAAUGAUUAAGUGUCGUCUGAGUACUAUACAAUAGUUAAAACUUUCAACAACGGAUCUCUUGGCUCUGGCAUCGAUGAAGAACGCAGCGAAAUGCGAUAAGUAAUGUGAAUUGCAGAAUUCAGUGAAUCAUCGAAUCUUUGAACGCACAUUGCGCCCGGUGGUAUUCCGCCGGGCAUGCCUGUUCGAGCGUCAUUUAAACCAAUCCAGCCUCGUGCUUGGGUCUUGGGCCUUUCGCCUCCGGGCGGGCCUCAAAAUCAGUGGCGGUGCCUCCUGGCUCUAAGCGCAGUAAUACUCCUCGCUAUAGACGUUCGGUGGUGUCCUGCCAGCAACCCCCCCAUUUUCAAAGGUUGACCUCGGAUCAGGUAGGGAUACCCGCUGAACUUAAGCAUAUCAAUAAGCGGAGGA
rnacentral:rRNA from 1 species